rnacentral:lncRNA from 1 species
AGAAUGUGAGCUGUUUCAACUCUGCAAACGCUUCAUCUCUUGGAACAUAUACGCUGCUGCUUCUUUCCUCAGAUAAUGGAUCUGCAUUUUACACGAUCAUAUGGUAAGAUAGAUAUCCUUAACAAUAAUCACACACACACAUAUAGCUAUUAUAGUACGUGUUGCAGCCUGAAAAUUCAAGUACUAAGUUAGUGGUGGUUACCCUUUUUAGUGCGUGGUCGUCCAGUUCUGCAACGCCUAGGGUACGGGUGCUCUUUGCCACCGAGGACAGGCCUGGCCAACUCGUCUUUGCUAUCCGGGUCUCCAAGAUCAUUGUAUGUAUCAUAAUCGUAAAUCCUUUCAGAUGCUUUUCGCUCACCC